rnacentral:lncRNA from 1 species
GAUACCAUGAACCACGCGGUUAGAACUUUUAUUCUAGAGACACCAGAUGGUGGCGCCACAUCAGGCUUUUCAAAGAUCUCUCCAGACCAUGAAUGUUCUCUGCCUUCUGAGUCAUCACUUUCCUAUUCCACAGAUCAAAUGAAAAGACGAGAAAACAGCUUCUAUCACCAUGACAGCCACCUGGAAACACCUAUCUCUGUUGGCAAGGGGGAGCAUUUGGAAAAUGACUCCAGGUUCUCCGGCCUUUGGACUGAGACUGAAUUGCAGUGGCAGCUUUCCUGAGUCUCCGGCUGGCAGAGAGCAGAUGGCAGGACUUCUUGGCCUCCAAUCAUCAUACCCUGACACCACCCCCAGCAAGAGGUGGACCCUUUGUCCCCUCCCCUUAAACUCAGGUGAGCCUUUGUGCCUGCCUUGCUCUUAGGGUAUGGUGGGAGUGAUGCUGUGGAACUUUUGAGUUGUCACAAGAGGUUGUGCAGCUCACUCUUGGGAUGUUUGCCACCAAAAUCCCACCAUCCCUUGGAGAGGCCCCUUGCAAGUGUCCCGGCUGAUGGUCCUAGUGGAAGUUCUGACAGCUGUCAUCACCGGCCACAGGUGCAAGACUAUAGCCCUUCUGAGCCUUCCAGUCUCUACUUGACCUUUGAGCCACCCCAGCAGAGGUGAGCUGCCCUCACCAAACCCCCUGCUCAAAUUGCAGAUUUAGGACAACUAUGAAGCGCCAUCUUAGUCCCAAACUUCCCGGGGGAUUGAGUAUAUGCACGUGGAGAGUCAUGCGUGAGUACAGAGGUGGGUCGGGAUGGCUGUCAGGGCCCAGAAUGUUCACUUGGAAGAUAACAGAAUGUACGUGGUGUAAAAAGUCUUGAGUCCAGGUAAUAUGACCUAGGGAGAAAGUACAUAGAAAAGGGUGGAGGACUGAGCCUGGGGCACUCCAUCACCAGCUGGAUGGCGGGGAGAGGCGAGGAAAGGCAGCAGUGUGUGGUGCUGCAGAGGGGCUACGUCAAAGGGGAGGGCUGCUGGGAGCUGGGGAACAGGACACUAGGAUGUCCACGCAACCUGAUGCCAUGAAGUCAUUGGUGACCUGUCAAGAAGAGUGUUACUGCAGAGCAGAGGGCAAAAGCCAGGGGAGUUCAUGACCAGAGGUGAGGCGGUGUGUGGAGCGCUGCUGGGGAAGGGGGGAGGUCAGUGAUGGUGGGAGGGCUGGCUUUCCAGGAAGGCUGGGCACUGCUUCCUUGUCAGGCAGAGAAGGUGGACACACAUGCAGGCAGGUUUGUACCUGGAAGCAGAAAUGCAAAGGCUUUUGCUGAGACCUUUUACAGAUAGAGGGUGCUGCAGUAAAAGCUUCCAACCCCGGCCCUUCUAAUCUGUGUCCAGCAGGUCAGUCAACAAACCCACAGAGGACAUCCUGACCUUUCCCCCUUCCGAGCUCUGUUCCUCUGGCUCAUUCCCAGCUGUGCGCGUCUCCAGGUUUCUCUGCCCCCUGGGGCUGUGGGCUCCUGAGUAGGACUUCUGUUCCUUUGCAUUCUCUGUGGUUCUAGGAAGUGCUUGGUCCCCAACAGAUGCCUGCUUGACACUUGCUGAUGGAGAGCUUGUCAAUUUCAUCUAACUGGAGAGCUUGUCAAUUUCAUCCAGCAAACCGGAAUCACUGGGGCCAUCCAGGAAUCACAGCAGCUCAUGAAGAAAUUCCACGGGAUCAGGGCUGUUAAAAGCCAACCUGCCAGAAAGGGUAGAACGGAGGAAGGACAAGAGGGUUCUAACACGUCCUGGAGGCAGGUGGGCGACGGUUCUUGAGAAUUUACACAAACCACAGGUUUUCCAGUGACCAGGGGGCUGUGGGCAGUGUGUUGUCUGUCAAAUUAUUUUUUUAGUGAGAUUUCUGGGUGCUACACCAGUUUUUUUUUUUUUCUUAGAUAGGGUCUUGCUCUGUUGUCCAGGCUGGAGUACAGUGGCACAGUCACAGCUCACUGCAGCCUCCAACUCCUGGGCUCGAGUGAUCUUCUUGCCUCAGCCUCCUGAGUAGCUGGGAGGGACUACAGGAGUAUGCCACCACACCCGGCUAACUUUAGUAGACAAGUGUCUCACUAUUUUGCCCAGGCUGGUCAACUCUUGGCCUCAAGCCUCCCAUGUCAACUUCCCAAAGUUCUGGGAUUACAGGUGUGAGCCACUGCGCCUGGCCUGCUUUAAUCUUCAUAGAGGGCUCUAAGGUUGUGAGUGUGGGGGUUUCUCCUGACUCCAGGAGGAGAUGGACUCCCCAUCCCUGUAAGCUGUGACAUGUGUGUUCCAUGUCAGGCCCAGAUGGGAUCCAAAUGGCUGUGGUUGUUCCCACUGUGGUGAUGUGGAACCCCUGUCCUGUCUGCAGUGCUGGGGGAUGUGCAGGGCUGGGACUUGCCGUCACAUCUGCUGGCAGAGGGAAGCUGUGAGGGCUGUUGGCAGGGUUGUGGGGGUGGAGGUAGCGGCUGGAGAGUUUAGCAUGGCUCUCCAGCCAGCGUGCCAGGGCCUGCACUCUGCAGCAUAGGUCUUGGAGCAUGGGCCACUCUGCCAGUGAGGUGGCUGCCCUACAUAAGAUGCGCAGGCUCACAGCACAACUGUCAGACCCUCAGGUCCCCAACCCAGGGUUUUGCAACCACAACGGGAUGAGGCCAGGACUGAAAGAUUUGUUAGCGCUUGCUCAGGGAGAGGCAGCCAUCCCCCCGAACUGCAUUUCCCAAUGACCUCUGACACCAACUAACUCCAGUUGUGGCCAGCAGGCUCCCUGAAGCCAAGUCCCUGGCAAGCCAGGUGGCCACCACAGUGGGGAAGGACACAGCCUCCCCGUCAGCCCUUGGGGACUGGCUUUUGUCUUUUACUUCACAGACAGCUUAAAACCGUUACGGAAAAACAUUUUAUUACACAUAUUCAACUUGCUUCCAAUGAAAUGAUUAAUUUUUCAUGUAUAAUGGCAUCCAAUGUUUGUCUUCUGUUUUUUUUUUUUUCCUUUCAAAACCAGCACCAAAAAGUAAAACAAAAAUUCCAUGGGUACAGUAUGUAAUGCAAGUUAACUAAUGGAAAAUAGAUACAUUUGACUCUGAAAUGAAAAAAGCACAAUCGUGUUGCCAUAGAGGCUCUUUUCCCGCAUUCUGAUCAUGUCUAGCAAUGGUCAGCUGAGAGGGUUUCAUUUUGCACCAAUAAAAAUAGCACCGUAGGGUCGUGAGACUCUGGUUAGUAACACGUGCGCAAGCACAAAGGUACAGUACUCGAGGGACAGUACAGGGUAUUAACACAGAAACAUCACUGCUGUGAUCAGCGUCUAGUGGAACACGAAUGUUUAUGAUGGUUUCACUGAAAUCACUGCUCGUGCCACGAACAGAAGGUAGGCUGGUGGAUUUCAAGAUAAGCUAAAAGGCCGGGCACGGUGGCUCACUCCUGUAAUCCCAGCACUUUGGAAGGCUGAGGCGGGUGGAUCAUGAGGUCAGGAGAUCGAGACCAUCCUGGCUAACAUGGUGAAACCCCGUCUCUAGUAAAAAAAAAAAAAAAUACAAAAAAGUAGGCGGGCGUGGUGGCGGGCGCCUGUAGUCCCAGCUACUGGGGAGGGUGAGGCAGAAGAAUGGCCUGAACCCAGGAGGUGGAGCUUUCAGUGAGCUGAGAUGGCGCCACUGCACUCCAGCCUGGGCGACAGAGGGAGACUGUCUCAAAAAACAACACCGACAACAAAAAGAUGAGCUAAAAGAACUCUGAAGAUGCAGACUUUAGGGGAACUAAUGGGGGUAUCUGACAAUAACCCAAUCAAUCCUUUUCAUUCUGAGGGUGUGGGGCCCUUGCCAGGGUGACCAUGGGCAUAUCUGGAGGCCCCGGGGCCCAUGCAGGAGACCAGGCUAAGGCUUCCUUAGUGAGCUUGCCCGGCUCUGCUCCUUGGCUGCAAAAGUCUAAAUGUCUUUCAGUGAAUUAACAGUUCAUUUGGGGAUGAAGGAAAAUUGAACCUCAGCUCCCCCAAAAUUUUGAGGGCUUUGUGAAAAUGGGAAUUCACGGGAGUCUGCUGGUGGCUAGGCCUGAGGGGGAGGACAGUGGUCUGUGCAGGCCCCGGGCCGCUCCAUCCUGACACUCUCAGUUCUUUCCACAGAGCACCCACGGAAGUUUCACGGAAGUUUCUCAACACUUCUUGUUGAUUCAAGUGGAAUGGUAUGAACUGUGUGGCACUGCUGUCCUCGCUGGCAUAUAUAGAUUUACACUCCAGGGACGAGACUUCCAAGGCAACACCUAGGAUUUAGCGACUGUUGUCAGAGACAGAGACGGGCAUGGAGGCAACGUCCUGGUUCUCAUGUGGUCAAGAAGGUAGAUGAAGAGAAACGUGGGCUAAGCAGCCUGGCCCUCCCCAGAGAAGCCACGGGCAGAGGCUCACCAACCCCUGCCCCUCCCUCCAGGGUGUCGCCGGCUUUCAGAAUAAAGCCUUUAGAAUAAAGCCUUUUCUAGCAUGUCUCGUUUUGGGGAUGUUUCCUCCAUGAUGUACCAAGCACUGGAAAUUCAAAUGUCAAAAGCGAGCCAAGACAGGAACACUAAAUGACGUCUCUCUCUUGACGGUUGUCUGCCAGAGGUGCUUCCCUUCGAGGUACCUGAAAUCCUAGAAAUUGAAGUUACUUUGUGACUCAUGCCUACUUUCUCCUCACUGUAGAAAGCCAGCCAGUGGCUGUUAACAAUAUAUUAAGUAAAGUACGGAAGCACUAAUGGCAAACGCCAAGUCCACGCUCAUGUUCUAUGCAGUUGGAUUCUUGCGGCAGCCUUGUGGGGGCGUGGCCACAAGGCUGGUACGCUGGCGGGUGGGUGGGUUUCAGACCUGAGUCUGAGCUUUGAGCGACCCCUGGGACUGCGCGUCACGAGCUCGGCGGUGGCUGGCGCAUCUUGUUUGCAUAGAAGUCCCUGCAGGUCUGGCAGCAGCGCUGGUACCACCGCAUGUCCUGGCAGAGGUUCUUUUCUCGGAUGACCCGGCAAUAUACCGUCCACUGGUCUCGUGUGCAUUUGUAGGUCAGAGCAGCUAAGGGGACAGGAGAGAAAACACCCAGGGUCAGGGAUGGCCUACGCAUGUCCUGAUGCAGGCACAGGGAGGGCUUCUGGUCUGACCGUCUGGGCUCCCUCACCCUUGUGCACACGUCAACCCUUUGCACUGAUUAGG